GACGAACGCUGGCGGCGUGCCUAAUACAUGCAAGUCGAGCGAAGUUUUUCUGGUGCUUGCACCAGAAAAACUUAGCGGCGAACGGGUGAGUAACACGUAAAGAACCUGCCUCAUAGACUGGGACAACUAUUGGAAACGAUAGCUAAUACCGGAUAACAGCAUUAACUGCAUGGUUGAUGUUUGAAAGUUGGUUUUGCUAACACUAUGAGAUGGCUUUGCGGUGCAUUAGCUAGUUGGUGGGGUAAAGGCCUACCAAGGCGACGAUGCAUAGCCGACCUGAGAGGGUGAUCGGCCACACUGGGACUGAGACACGGCCCAGACUCCUACGGGAGGCAGCAGUAGGGAAUCUUCCGCAAUGGGCGAAAGCCUGACGGAGCAACGCCGCGUGAGUGAAGAAGGAUUUCGGUUCGUAAAGCUCUGUUGUUAGGGAAGAAUGAUUGUGUAGUAACUAUAC
rnacentral:rRNA from 1 species